rnacentral:rRNA from 1 species
AGAGUUUGAUCCUGGCUCAGGACGAACGCUGGCGGCGUGCCUAAUACAUGCAAGUCAACGAGAAAAUCGGCUUCGGCUGAUAAGUAAAGUGGCGAACGGGUGAGUAACGCGUAGGUAACCUGCCUUCAGAUUGGGAAUAACCUUACUAACGUGAGGCUAAUACCGAAUGAUGCGAUAUUUUCACAUGAAGAUAUUGUUAAAGGAAGGGAUUCGCAAGAACCUUUUGUCUGAAGAUGGACCUGCGUUUCAUUAGUUAGUUGGUGAGGUAACGGCUCACCAAGACUACGAUGGAUAGCCGACCUAAGAGGGUGACCGGCCACACUGGGACUGAGAUACGGCCCAGACUCCUACGGGAGGCAGCAGUAAGGAAUAUUGCGCAAUGGCCUAACGGCUGACGCAGCAACGCCGCGUGACCGAUGAAGCUCUAAGGAGUGUAAAGGUCUGUUAGAAGGGAAGAAAAGUUCGGAUGUUAAUAAUAUCCGGACCUGACGGUAUCUUCAGAGAAAGCUCCGGCUAACUCCGUGCCAGCAGCCGCGGUAAUACGGGGGGAGCAAGCGUUGUCCGGAAUCACUGGGCGUAAAGGGCGUGUAGGCGGGAUUGUAAGUCAGGAGUGAAAUUUGUCAGCUUAACUGACAAACUGCUUUUGAGACUACAGUUCUUGAGUAAGACAGAGGAAAGUGGAAUUCCUGGUGUAGCGGUGAAAUGUGUAGAUAUCAGGAAGAACACCAGCAGCGAAGGCGGCUUUCUGGGUCUUAACUGACGCUGAGACGCGAAAGCGUGGGGAGCAAACAGGAUUAGAUACCCUGGUAGUCCACGCCUUAAACUAUGAGCACUAGGUGUUGGAGGAUUUGACCCCUUCAGUGCCGCAGCUAACGCAUUAAGUGCUCCGCCUGGGGAGUACGAUCGCAAGGUUGAAACUCAAAGGAAUUGACGGGGGCCCGCACAAGCGGUGGAGCAUGUGGUUUAAUUCGAUCAACGCGAAGAACCUUACCGGGGUUUGAAAUGCAGUUGAAGUCACGAGAAAUCGGGGCGCCUUCGGGCAACUGCACAGGUGCUGCAUGGUUGUCGUCAGCUCGUGUCGUGAGAUGUUGGGUUAAGUCCCGCAACGAGCGCAACCCUCGUCCUUAGUUGCCAUCAGUUUGGCUGGGCACUCUAAGGAGACUGCUGUUAAUAAGACGGAGGAAGGUGGGGAUGACGUCAAAUCAUCAUGGCCUUUAUAUCCCGGGCUACACACGUGCUACAAUGGCCGAUACAACGGGAAGCAAUAUCGCAAGAUGGAGCAAAUCCUUCAAAAUCGGUCUCAGUUCAGAUUGGAGUCUGAAACUCGACUCCAUGAAGUCGGAAUCGCUAGUAAUCGCGGAUCAGAACGCCGCGGUGAAUACGUUCCCGGGCCUUGUACACACCGCCCGUCAAGCCAUGGGAGUUGGGAGUACCCGAAGUCGUCGUGUUAACUCUGAGCAAUCGGGGAGACAGACGCCGAAGGUAAGACCAAUGACUGGGGCUAAGUCGAAACAAGGUA